CUGGGUUAAUACCUCGGGGGGAUGACGGUACCUGAAGAAUAAGCACCGGCUAACUACGUGCCAGCAGCCGCGGUAAUACGUAGGGUGCGAGCGUUAAUCGGAAUUACUGGGCGUAAAGCGUGCGCAGGCGGCUUUGCAAGACAGAUGUGAAAUCCCCGGGCUCAACCUGGGAACUGCAUUUGUGACUGCAAGGCUAGAGUACGGUAGAGGGGGAUGGAAUUCCGCGUGUAGCAGUGAAAUGCGUAGAUAUGCGGAGGAACACCAAUGGCGAAGGCAAUCCCCUGGACCUGUACUGACGCUCAUGCACGAAAGCGUGGGGAGCAAACAGGAUUAGAUACCCUGGUAGUCCACGCCCUAAACGAUGUCAACUGGUUGUUGGACGGCUUGCUGUUCAGUAACGAAGCUAACGCGUGAAGUUGACCGCCUGGGGAGUACGGCCGCAAGGUUGAAACUCAAAUGAAUUGACGG
rnacentral:rRNA from 1 species